AAGAAUGAGAGUUAUGAUCAACUCAGUAUACCACUGGAGGCUACAGGAGCAAACAGCAAACUGUUUCUCAUGAAAGCAGGAUGUUCAAAGCAGGAUGUUGGCAAAAUGACAAACUGCAUCUGCCACCCAGAAGGAAUGCUGAGGGCAGUCAUGCCCCAAGUGCAGUGUUUUUGUGAUUAGGCACAACUGAAGCUUGUUAGCAAUAAUAUGACCCUGUGAUUAAUUGAGCGGCUGACCAAUCAUUACCUCCUCCUCCCUGCUCUUUCUACCCAAUAAAUACAAAGGGCUGUGGAAGCUCAAUGGGCUGCCUUUGCUCAUUAGAAGCAGGGAGCUCUCUUCUUCUUCCCCUGGAUCCUUCCUUUAAAAUAGUUUCUUUUGUCUUAAGUUUUCAUUUCUACGUUUGUCCCUUCAUUCAGUCUCUUAAAUGACGGUCUCAAGCAGUAACAGUAGUAAUUGCUGUAAUGACGGUCUCAAGUAGUAACCAGGGCACUCUGCCACAAGUGGCACCUGAACAGGGACUAACAGGGACUAUCAAGAACAAACGGAGACCUGAAGAGACCUGAAGGGAACUGAAGAGGUCUGCAGGGACAAAUAGAGAUAAGUAGGGAUAAAUAGAGAUAAAUAGAGACAAAUAGAGAUAGGUAAGGAAUGACAGGGACUUGCAGGAAGUAACAGGGACCAUAGGGACAGAUAGGGAUAGAUAAAGACUAGCAAAGACUAGCCGAGAUUAGCAAAGACCAGCAAGGACUAGCAGAGACUAGCAAAGACUAGCAGAAACUUGCAGGGACAGGCAGAGACAGAUAGGGACAGAUAGGGUCCUACAGGGACUUGAACGAGGAAGAUCUGCUGGAAAAGAAAAGAACUACAACCAACCAGAUGAACAAGAAACCCUGUUACAAGUCUGCUGGCAGCAACAUAAGUAAAUGAUAGCUCCUUACAAAUACAGAGGACAAAAUAAAAGUGACUUAAUUAUAAAAACACAGUGACACAAAGUGAACCGGGUUCUAUAAAUUACCAUGGAAAGUGGUGAGCCAACGAUUUGGCAGAACAAAACCCUGAGGAUAUGCAAACAAAAGGGACUAUGGAAUUUGCAAUUGCAGAUUAAAAUUGAAGAAGAAAACAUUUGAGUUGCAAAUACCGUAUUAAAAGUGGACACUGCUUAUGACUGCUGUAUGCAACAGUUUUUCAGGCCCGAGGUGAUAAAUAAAAAAUUGUUUGCUCUAUUUAA
rnacentral:lncRNA from 1 species